AUUGAACGCUGGCGGCAUGCCUUACACAUGCAAGUCGAACGGCAGCACGGGAGCAAUCCUGGUGGCGAGUGGCGAACGGGUGAGUAAUAUAUCGGAACGUGCCCGGUCGUGGGGGAUAACGUAGCGAAAGCUACGCUAAUACCGCAUACGAUCUACGGAUGAAAGCGGGGGAUCGCAAGACCUCGCGCGAUUGGAGCGGCCGAUAUCAGAUUAGGUAGUUGGUGAGGUAAAGGCUCACCAAGCCGACGAUCUGUAGCUGGUCCAGAGGACGGACCACGCACACU
rnacentral:rRNA from 1 species